rnacentral:rRNA from 1 species
AUUGAACGUUGGCGGCAGGCUUAACACAUGCAAGUCGAGCGGGGUGAUGGUGCUUGCACUAUCACUUAGCGGCGGACGGGUGAGUAAUGCUUAGGAAUCUGCCUAUUAGUGGGGGACAACAUCUCGAAAGGGAUGCUAAUACCGCAUACGUCCUACGGGAGAAAGCAGGGGAUCACUUGUGACCUUGCGCUAAUAGAUGAGCCUAAGGCGGAUUAGCUAGUUGGUGGGGUAAAGGCCUACCAAGGCGACGAUCUGUAGCGGGUCUGAGAGGAUGAUCCGCCACACUGGGACUGAGACACGGCCCAGACUCCUACGGGAGGCAGCAGUGGGGAAUAUUGGACGAUGGGGGGAACCCUAAUCCAGCCAUGCCGCGUGUGUGAAGAAGGCCUUAUGGUUGUAAAGCACUUUAAGCGAGGAGGAGGCUCUUUUGGUUAAUACCCAAGAUGAGUGGACGUUACUCGCAGAAUAAGCACCGGCUAACUCUGUGCCAGCAGCCGCAGUAA